rnacentral:rRNA from 1 species
GACGAACGCUGGCGGCGUGCCUAAUACAUGCAAGUAGGACGCAGUUGCGAACGGGUGAGUAACGCGUAGGUAACUGCCUAUUAGAGGGGGAUAACUAUUGGAAACGAUAGCUAAUACCGCAUACUAGUAGAUGGACCUGCGUUGUAUUAGCUAGUAGGUAGGGUAAUGGCCUACCUAGGCGGAGAUACAUAGCCGACCUGAGGAGGAGGACCGCCACACCGGGAAUGGGACAAGGCCCAGACUCCUUAGGGGAGGAGCAGUAGGGGAUCAUCGGCAAUGGGGGGAAACCUGACCGAGGCACGCCGCGGGAGUGAAGAAGGUUUUCGGGUCGGAAAGCUCUGUUGUUAAGGGAGCGGUACUUAACCAAAAAGGAACGGCUAACUACGUGCCAGCAGCCGCGGUAAUAC